AGUUGAACGCUGGCGGCAUGCCUUACACAUGCAAGUCGAACGGGUAACAGGUCUUCGGACGCUGACGAGUGGCGAACGGGUGAGUAAUACAUCGGAACGUGCCCAGUCGUGGGGGAUAACUACUCGAAAGAGUAGCUAAUACCGCAUACGAUCUGAGGAUGAAAGCGGGGGACCUUCGGGCCUCGCGCGAUUGGAGCGGCCGAUAUCAGAUUAGGUAGUUGGUGGGGUAAAGGCCUACCAAGCCGACGAUCUGUAGCUGGUCUGAGAGGACGACCAGCCACACUGGGACUGAGACACGGCCCAGACUCCUACGGGAGGCAGCAGUGGGGAAUUUUGGACAAUGGGGGCAACCCUGAUCCAGCCAUGCCGCGUGC
rnacentral:rRNA from 1 species